AAGGCUUCAGUACGACCCAGUCAGAACUAUAAGUCUCAAAGCCCCGACGAGUAGGGUGGCGUGCCGGUGUGCGUUGAAGGCCAAGACGUGAGUCAGGCUGGAGCCGCCGGUAGUGCAGAUCUUGGUGGUAGUAGCAAGUACUCUGGUGAACCAACCUGGAGCUGUGAGGUCUGGAUCAGGGUUCCAUGUCAACAGUGAUUGAACAUGGGUGAGUCGAUCCUAAGCCAACUGUGAAAGCAGUGACAUUCCGACAAAGGGGCCUGUGUUUAUACACUCACGAAUAAAGCACACGCAAUGAUCACACAAUAGUGUGCUCUCUUUGCGCUCAAAGCGCUGUUGACGGUGUGUGUGUGAGUUGUCUCUGCGUCUGGUUCUAUGUCUGGCGAAAGGGAAUGGGGACUUUGUUCCUUGACCGGUCCCGGCACCCUCGAUAGGCGCCAAUCAAUGGUCCAUGCAAAUGGAACCAGGCCACAGCCGCCGGCAGUCGCCCGAGGAAGAGUUUUCUUUUCUGCUUAACGCACGAGAUCAUCCCUGGAAACAGUUCGGCUGGCGAAAGGGUGCCCCGUUGCGGCAGAGCGCCACGACUGUCGUGCGCGUCUCGGUGUUCCUGCCGGUCCGUGAAGACGUGGUCGAGGGGAUUGCCUUGUAUCAACGAAACGCCCGACAAGUUCGGGACGGACCGUACCCUAUAUCCGCAUCUGGUCUCCAAGGUUCGUAGCCUCUGCAGAGUCAGACACAUGUAGGUAAGGGAAGUCGGCAAACUCGAUCCGUAACUUCGGGAAAAGGAUUGGCUCUGAGGGCCGAGCUGGGCCGGGCCUUGCCUGCAAAGCAGUACCUAUAGUGACCGGAGUUUCAGGAGUGCGAGGGGCUCUAGUAGCUGCUCGCGCGUUCACGCGCGUGGGUACGAACGAGUCCACCGCUCCGCUCCAACCACGAACGGCUGUGACGGCAAGGGCUCUGGGCGGGAGCGUUCAAACCGUUCCCAGCUCGUCUGGGUGGCGGCGGUGCUUCGUCUGACCCAUACGGCUCCAGCGGCUAGCGGCUAACUCAGAACUGUCAUGGACCAAGGGAAUCCGACUGUCUAAUUAAAACAAAGCGUCGUGACGGCCCCUGUUGGGUGUUGACGCGACGUGAUUUC
rnacentral:rRNA from 1 species